CCUACGGGAGGCAGCAGUGGGGAAUAUUGCACAAUGGGGGGAACCCUGAUGCAGCGACGCCGCGUGAGUGAAGAAGUAUUUCGGUAUGUAAAGCUCUAUCAGCAGGGAAGAACAUGACGCUACCUGACUAAGAAGCCCCGGCUAACUACGUGCCAGCAGCCUCGGUAAUACGGAGGGGGCAAGCGUUAUCCGGAUUUACUGGGUGUGAAGGGAGCGUACACGGCAGAGCAAGUCUGAAGUGAAAGCCCGGGGCCCAACUGCGGGACUGCUUUGGAAACUGCCCGGCUAGAGUGCUGGAGAGGUAAGCGGAAUUCCUAGUGUAGCGGUGAAAUGCGUAGAUAUUAGGAGGAACACCAGUGGCGAAGGCGGCUUACUGGACAGUAACUGACGUUGAGGCUCGAAAGCGUGGGGAGCAAACAGGAUUAGAUACCCCUGUAGUC
rnacentral:rRNA from 1 species